rnacentral:rRNA from 1 species
CAGUAGCCACGGUAAUACGGAGGGAGCUAGCGUUGUUCGGAAUUACUGGGCGUAAAGCGCACGUAGGCGGCUUUGUAAGUCAGAGGUGAAAGCCUGGAGCUCAACUCCAGAACUGCCUUUGAGACUGCAUCGCUUGAAUCCAGGAGAGGUGAGUGGAAUUCCGAGUGUAGAGGUGAAAUUCGUAGAUAUUCGGAAGAACACCAGUGGCGAAGGCGGCUCACUGGACUGGUAUUGACGCUGAGGUGCGAAAGCGUGGGGAGCAAACAGGAUUAGAUACCCCUGUAGUCCCUGUCUCUUAUAA